AGGGAAUCUUCCACAAUGGACGAAAGUCUGAUGGAGCACCGCCGCGUGAGUGAUGCAGGUUUUCGGAUCGUAAAACUCUGUUGUAAGGGAAGAACCAGUACGUCAGGCAAUGGACGUAUCUUGACGGUACCUUAUUAGAAAGCCACGGCUAACUACGUGCCAGCAGCCGCGGUAAUACGUAGGUGGCAAGCGUUGUCCGGAAUUAUUGGGCGUAAAGCGCGCGCAGGUGGUUUCUUAAGUCUGAUGUGAAAGCCCACGGCUUAACCGUGGAGGGUCAUUGGAAACUGGGAGACUUGAGUGCAGAAGAGGAAAGUGGAAUUCCAAGUGUAGCAGUGAAAUGCGUAGAGAUUUGGAGGAACACCAGUGGCGAAGGCGACUUUCUGGUCUGCAACUGACGCUGAGGCGCGAAAGCAUGGGGAGCAAAC
rnacentral:rRNA from 1 species